UAUAACGUCGCGCUCUUUCCCCUCAGCGCACACAGACCCUAGACUUAGGAAUGCCUCAAAACAGGGUGCGUCUUUAGGAGGAAAUCAGGAAAAAAAAUAAAUCACAGUUUUUAUUCAUAUUUCUCCUUUUUUUAAAUCAUUAUUUUAUUCAGACCUUGGGUAAGUGCGUUGGAGCAUGGCACAGAAGUUUCCUUAUUUUACCUAUCCGGACAUGUUCCAGAAUACAGGGAGAAGGUGAAUGAACAGCUUUUUAUUGGACGGCUUUAAAAUACCACAGUUUAUAUUAAAAGUUAAAAGUUAGAGGCAUGGAUCUCGAUUUUACGAAUGAGACAUACAUGGACUCAGAGUGCGUCCGAGCGCUUCAGGACCUGAUGCAGAGCGGCGCGCUCAAUGGAAGCUUGGAAGCGUCUAACAUCUCUUGUGGCAACACUUCUACACUGCUUAUACCUGAACGUGUCGGCCAAGGGGAGGACCACACACUCCGCAUCCUGCUCUACUCGCUUAUCUUCUUUUCGAGUGUAUUUGGCAACCUACUGAUUAUCGUGGUGCUCACGUUCAACAAGCGCAUGCGCACUGUCACCAACACCUUCCUGUUGUCACUUGCCAUGAGUGACCUGAUGAUGGCCAUAUUCUGCAUGCCUUUCAACUUGAUCCCCAGCAUUCUCAAAGACUUCAUUUUUGGGGCUUUGAUGUGCAAGAUAGUGGCCUAUCUCAUGGGCACCUCAGUGAGCAUUUCCACUUUUAACCUGGUUGCCAUAGCCAUUGAGCGCUACAGUGCCAUCUGCAAGCCUCUGAAGUCACGGGCAUGGCAGACCCGUUCCCAUGCAUAUCGGGUGAUUGCUGCUACAUGGGUACUGGCCUUCAUCAUCAUGAUCCCCUACCCAAUUAUCAGUCACCUCAGACCAUUUAAACGCCCUGAUAACACCACUGCACACCAAUGCCGCCACAAGUGGCCCCUUGCAACAGCGGAGCAGACCUGGUAUGUGUUACUUCUGCUUGUGCUGUUCGCAAUUCCAGGAGUUGUUAUGAUUGUCGCUUAUGGACUGAUCUCUAGGGAACUUUAUAGAGGCAUCCAAUUUGAGACCGGCCUUAAAAAAGACUCCACUGAUGUAAAGAAUGGGCUGACUUCCUCUUUGUCUAGUAAUCCUGAUGAUGGAGACGGUUGCUAUGUUAAUGAGGUCAAACGGCAACGCUCAAUGGAGAUGUCCACCAUGUCUACAUCUACCCAGUCCAUGAAGAUUGACAGACCCCGCAGCAAUGCAUCUGGAGCCAAGCUGGAGGCCAAGAAGCGAGUCAUUCGAAUGCUGGUGGUCAUCGUUUUUUUGUUCUUUCUCUGCUGGAUGCCUCUAUACUGUGUAAACACGUGGCGGGCUUUUGAUAACGCCACCGCUGAAAGUACCCUCUCAGGGACACCCAUUGCAUUCAUCCAUUUGCUGAGUUACACCUCUGCUUGUGUCAACCCAAUAAUCUACUGCUUCAUGAAUACACGCUUCCGCAAGGCCCUGUUCGGCACUUUCUCCUGCUGCUUUGCUCCUUGCUGCCAUCAUUGCCGCCGGCGGGAACCACGUGAGAACGAGGAGGAUGUUAUGGCAACGGGGGCAUCCAUGUCCAGGUUCAGUUACACCAUAGUCAGUACCAUGGGAACCUGCUGAAGACAGUUACUACAGCAACAUAAUAUCCACAUCCUUUGUUUCCAUGCCAGUGCUAUGCGCUUAGGGAAAAUCAUUAGUAGAAACAGCCCAUAUACUGUAAUGAACCAGUCUGGAAGCUUCACCUGACUCAUGGUGCUAGGCUGAGUGUUGAACCAGGGAAAAAGGCAACAGAGGAAGACAAGUGAUGUGCCACGAUUGAAACAACACAUGAAGUUGAGGAGUCAACCAUAGGAAGAGAAACAAGAAGUUUGUUUGUCUGUUUUUAUGAAUGUACUGCUUAAUACUGGAAUCAUUAAAGCUGUGCACUAAAAGAAAGAGAUUUUCUCAAUUUUACCAAAGAUAAAGCUCUGUUUCUUUACAAAAAAGUUUUACUUUUUCCUUUUGGAUUUUGAAAAAUUACUUGGACAGAACCUAUGUAUUGUGACUGAAUUGCUGGGAACUCAGUACUGACAGCAGACAGAACAUCUCAAAUGGAAAAAAAAAAUGAAUUUUCAUCUUUGAUUGAUGUAUCUUCUCUGUGUAUAGUUAAGCUAAAUGAAACAAUCUGUCACUCAUGACUAGCUUUUGAGUUUGAAUACUUUAUGCUUCUCAGUUUCAGCUAAAAUAAUUGUAGAAUUUAAACUUUUACAACACAUUACAAUAAUUAUAUGUAUGAAUCAAAAAGACUUGUAAAGACCAUUAAGAUAUUUUCCUAACAUAUCAGAGAAAUUGCCCAAAGAGUAUUUGUUUAACCAAACUUUUUGUUGGUGCUGGCAUCCUUUUUAAUGCUUUCUCCCUAUUCUGUUUAAUUUAAUUCUGUUACAACAGUAUUUGUUGAUAGUUGUAGUAGUAUGCAUGUGUGCACAAGUAGUUCUGCCGAGACUAUAUGAAUAGGAAUAUUGCCUACUGUGAAUCUAUUUGUCAAGCUUGGAUAGGCAGAACUGAGAGCUAAGAGCAGGCAGUCAACUCAUUUGCCAAGCACUCAAAGGUGCUGCUCAUGUAAAUGUCAAGCUUAAACAAGUAUCAUUUAAGUCAACUAGGAUAUUACUUUUUAUUUUGUGACAUGUUUUUUUUUUAUUAUUAUUUUGUAUUGAUUGUAGAAUUAAGAGCUUGGAUCAUGUUGAGAAGCAAUUCUUUGUACUACAUGAAAGCUUAAGUCAAAUGAAAAAUCAAAGUAUGGGGUGUUUUGGCUGUAUAAUGCAAUGUAUGCUCAGGCAACAACUUCUUUGAUAAAAUCAAGGGGUUGGAGUAAAAAAAAAAUCUAUUUGUCUUGAGUCAGGAUGAAUAUUUUCAGCAAAAAUUAUUUUUGUUGUGCACUAGGGUACUCAUUGCACCCUAAUGCACAUUUGCUUGUAAUUAAAAUUGAAAGAGUUCCUGUGUAAAUUUGGCUUUUGGUGCUCCAUGUGGUUAUUGUAAAAAAAAUAAAAACACACAACCACUGUAUGCAGUGUUUCAAUUAGCCACAAACAAAGCAUAAAAUUCAUAGAGUUAAGAUUAGGUGUUGUGUUUAGUUAUGUCCAGUGGAUUAAUUGAAGCAGUUGAGUGUUAUAAUUGUUAGUACAUCAAUCUCAUCAAUUGAAAUGUCAUGGUGUGAAGAAACCAUUUUGAAGAUUUAAGUCUUUGUCAUUUUUACAGUUUGUGGUCUCCAAGGCAGAAGAAGAAGAAAAAAAAAAGAUCUAGAAUUAGUGCAGCCAUCUUGCUGUCAAACGUCGCCAAAUUAUAAAUUGUUUUUAUAAGUCCCUGCCUACCCAUUCAUCUAUACGGUACAUUAAUAGCAUUUAUAAUGAUUUGUACUAAAUGUUUAUGUUUAAUACAGACUGAUAUAUUGUAUAUGGGCUUAGGUAGUUAUAUUUUGUGGGGAAAAAAUGAAUUGAUUUUGUGUUUUUGUGAGUGCCACAUCUCCAUGAAGUCUGCUCUGUCAGGUCAUGAAUUGAAUGUGAACGGUUAGGGAAUUAUUUCAGGUCCUGUUUAGGUUUACCCGGAGGAUCACUGUUGCCAGGUCACCAUUGCCUUAAGGUGUAAUGAGUGUACAGUCUUAUUAUGUCUGAGUAAAUGUUUGCAUAAAACGUCUUUAUAUAAUCAACUGUGUAUAUGUCUGACAGAAAGGACAUGUCAGAAUAAUUGAUCUGCUUCAUAUUCUGUCAUAUGAUUGCCCUCCAGAUAUUUGUGUAUACCAAAUCAAAGAUCUUUAUUUAAAAAUCUGCUGUUACACCCCCAGUAGAAAGUACUAAGCAUUGUUUUAAAAUAAUUAAACCUAGUGGUUUAAAAAUAAUUGUAUGUUUUUGGGAAUGUUCAAAAAUUGUUUAAAUAAAAUGUCUCUGCUGCUAACUUUGCAUAGCUUUGGGUAAUAUCUUGCCAUUUUCUUUUCUCUAAGACUGGCUCCAGAUGGCACAGGUUGGACAGGGGGCUUCUGUCAUUAGUAGUAUGACUUUGGAAGAACUAGCUUGCAGUAGGAGGCCCUUCUAGCUUAUAUUUAUACACUACUGUUUCAGAGACAUAAAAGGUUUAUCUGCCAGUCAGACUUCUGCUAUAUACAUAAGUGUUUACAGUUCCCGUUUAGUCCUCAAUAGUUCUUUCUCUGAAUAAAUGUUUACAUGUAUGCAUACUGUACCAAAAUAUUCAGCAGGGCACCUACAGUUUUGUGUAAUAUCUUGUUUGUGCUAUGUAAUGUAGAGUAAUAAAGCAUGGCUAUUAAAAAAAA